rnacentral:lncRNA from 1 species
CCAGAACCUCUGGAAUCCCACGAGGAGAAAAGACUACAGGAAGACUAUUGGCGGGAACUCGAAGCCAAGUGCAAAAAGCAAAAAGCUGAAGCCGCUGAGAAGAGGCGCCUGGAAGAGCAGAGGCGGCAGGCGCUGGAGAGGAGGCUUUGGGAGGAGAGCCUCAGACAGGAGCUGCUGGAGGAGGAGGAAGAGGAGGCUGAAGAGGUAGGCCUGUUGCUACAGGCAGGGAAGGCACCUCCAGAGGAAGGGCCUCAGUCUGGUCUGGAGGAACAGCGGGGUUCAGAGCAGGAGCUGGGGGAAGCCGAUGACCCCACCCGCCUGGAGGCAGAAGAGCGCAGGCGUGAG